GGCCCCGUAGUUCAACUGAAUAGAAUAUCAGAUUUCGGCUCUGAGGGUUGCAGGUUUGAAUCCUGCCGGGGUCACGA
rnacentral:tRNA from 1 species